GGACUCCGGGAGGAAGCCUCGCUCAGGCCCUCGUCUCCCGCCGGCCCGGCCCCUGGGACGGGCCUGGGGACACCUGACCCACCUCCCCGAGGCCGUGUCACGGCGGUGGCUCGGCUCAGAGGCCGAAGGGGGAAACCGGACAGGAUGUGGUGGUACCUGGCCGAGCAACAAGAGACGGAUAAAACGGAGAAAAAAGAUCACUGAGGUUUCUGCUAGACUGAAGAAGGAAGAAAAUAAUUCUCAAGAACCCUGGUCUGUGUGAUAAAGAGUUUGGAGUCUCCCAGAUGCUGUCCUCAGAUUCUGGCGCUGGGACACAGUCUACAGCCUCGCAGCAGCUCUGAACUUGGCCUGGGGGAAGGCUGGGCUGCCUUUUCGCCUUACCUGUUUCCCGCUCUUCAAAUAACCUGGCUGCUGGUAAGGGAACCCGGGGCCUGAGUCCAUGAGUCAAAGGAGCCUGGAUAUAAAGACAGAGCCUUCAAGGAUGCCCGUGGGGACUUAGGGAGAUGGAGGAGGCAGAGGUGCACUGUGGAAAGGACAGAGGGAUGGAUUUCCAGAGGUAAAGAAAUGACCCAGGAAUGAAUCAGUUAUGGGAGGAGAAGGCGACUGCCCAGAGACCACAUGCAGCCAGGAGAUACAGCCUGUUUAGCUCACCUGGUAUAAAGAAUAUCCUACUCAGUUGUCCGCAUUUUUAAAUUAUAUCAUAUACAUACACAAAGGAGAUGGCCAUUUAUCUUGAAAAAUCAGAUGUUCCCCGCCCCCACCCCACCAGGCUUACCCUGAGCAGGACGCCUCCUGUGGUCAGGGCAGGUACUGCUCUUCCCAGCCCUGCUCUCCUGGUGCCCAAAUACACCUGCCUGCAAGGCCUGUGCCCUGUGACCUCAGCUGGGGCUAGGGGACAGGGCACGGGACAGAAUGGGCAUGCCGGAAAUUGUUCUCAUGAGCACUGGCUGUCCAGGAAUCCCAGGGCAAGGAAGAAGGCGAUUCUAGCUGGAAAGAAAGUUUAAUCUGAAGUUCUCAACUUUAACAUUUGGAGACAUCCAGAAUCAGUGCACUUUCUGCAGCCUGGCGCAAGUCUAGCCUUUUAAAUGGUCUUGACCUUGACCUUGAUGCCUGUGGACACUGCAGAGCCUCCUGCUUCCACCAGCCCUGCCCCUCCUUCCCAUCUGGUCCAGCCCUGUUCCUGGAGCUCCUGCAGACAAAUGCCAGCUCAUUGCCUCCUCCUGGCCGAUGUCCUGCCCUGCAUGGGCCCCUGGGGGAGGCCCUUCACUGUUGGUUCCCAAGCUCGUGCUGGGCCCCUUCUAAGUGCCAGGGGCCGCUCACGAGGAUGGAGUGAGCCAGAGAGCAUGCAGAGGAUGGUGGGAUUGGGGGCAGGGUGGUCAGAGGUCAGGAGGGGCCUGGUUGGAACUUGACCCUGGGGCUGAGAAGAUAGGAUCCUUGCAUGAAAAUGACAAGGGGCCUCCAGGGUGUUUAAUCAAGGAAGUACCCAAGUCAGGGCAGAGUUUUCAGAAAGAUGUUCCGGGAAUGGAUGUGCGGAGUGGACCAGAAGUACGGGUGGGCUGUCCCCACUUGCCUCUCCUUUUGACAGGGACAGAGUAAAGGGACUAAGUAGGUGAUUAAAUAGUGAAUCCCACUAGGGGACUGUGGAUGGAAAAAUAUGGGCGACCCCUGUAAAUUAGUGAUUCCUCAAGAAAGCAGCUUUGCUUAACCACAAAACCAAGCAGGCUUGCUCAGCAACAGAACCAGGAGGCAGAAGGAUGAGACAAGCCCCCAGCACAACAAAACCACGGUGGCAAGAGACCCACAAGCUGCCCAGUGAGCUCUGAAGGGUAAUGAUCACUAGGACACGCUCUCUGCACACAUGAAAAACAGCAAUUUGUGGACCUCGCUUGACCACGCAGAGACAAGAAAACCCCCUGCUCAGCCUGGAGAAGGAGGUGAUGGUGGGAGCAUGACGUCUACUCAAGAAAGACAAAGAAGCUCUUCUGCCUCCCCCCACUUUUCUUUUGAUUAUAAAACCAGAGCCCACUAAGUUCUCGGGUGUGGCAUUUCUUGCCUUCCCCCCUGUAGGCCUCAUGAGUGUUUUAUUCUAAUAAAUCACUUCUCACCUA